rnacentral:rRNA from 1 species
UCUACGGGUGGCUGCAGUGAGGAAUAUUGGUCAAUGGCCGGAAGGCUGAACCAGCCAUGCCGCGUGAAGGUCAGUGCCCUAUGGGCGUUAAACUUCUUUUGUGCGGGAGCAAUAAUGGUCACGUGUGGCCAGACGAGAGUACCGUACGAAUAAGCAUCGGCUAACUCCGUGCCAGCAGCCGCGGUAAUACGGGGAGUGCAAGCGUUUUCGGGAUAUAUUGGGUUUAAAGGGUGCGUAGGGUUUGUGGUAAGUCAGCGGUGAAAUGCCCCCGCUCACCGGGGUGAAGUGCCAUUGAUACUGGGGUGCUGGAGUGCGGAUGAGGUGGGAGGAAUGUGUGGUGUAGCGGUGAAAUGCAUAGAUAUCACGCAGAACACCGAUUGCGAAGGCAUCUCAC